rnacentral:rRNA from 1 species
GUUUGAUCCUGGCUCAGGAUGAACGCUAGCUACAGGCUUAACACAUGCAAGUCGAGGGGCAGCAUGAACUUAGCUUGCUAAGUUUGAUGGCGACCGGCGCACGGGUGAGUAACACGUAUCCAACCUGCCGAUGACUCGGGGAUAGCCUUUCGAAAGAAAGAUUAAUACCCGAUGGCAUAAUUCUUCCGCAUGGUAGAACUAUUAAAGAAUUUCGGUCAUCGAUGGGGAUGCGUUCCAUUAGGUUGUUGGCGGGGUAACGGCCCACCAAGCCUUCGAUGGAUAGGGGUUCUGAGAGGAAGGUCCCCCACAUUGGAACUGAGACACGGUCCAAACUCCUACGGGAGGCAGCAGUGAGGAAUAUUGGUCAAUGGGCGGAAGCCUGAACCAGCCAAGUAGCGUGAAGGAUGACUGCCCUAUGGGUUGUAAACUUCUUUUAUAAAGGAAUAAAGUCGGGUAUGGAUACCCGUUUGCAUGUACUUUAUGAAUAAGGAUCGGCUAACUCCGUGCCAGCAGCCGCGGUAAUACGGAGGAUCCGAGCGUUAUCCGGAUUUAUUGGGUUUAAAGGGAGCGUAGGCGGACGCUUAAGUCAGUUGUGAAAGUUUGCGGCUCAACCGUAAAAUUGCAGUUGAUACUGGGUGUCUUGAGUACAGUAGAGGCAGGCGGAAUUCGUGGUGUAGCGGUGAAAUGCUUAGAUAUCACGAAGAACUCCGAUUGCGAAGGCAGCUUGCUGGACUGUAACUGACGCUGAUGCUCGAAAGUGUGGGUAUCAAACAGGAUUAGAUACCCUGGUAGUCCACACAGUAAACGAUGAAUACUCGCUGUUUGCGAUAUACAGUAAGCGGCCAAGCGAAAGCGUUAAGUAUUCCACCUGGGGAGUACGCCGGCAACGGUGAAACUCAAAGGAAUUGACGGGGGC